UACAGAGGGUCUCAAGCGUUGUUCGGAUUCAUUGGGGCGUAAAGGGUGCGUAGGCGGCGCGGUAAGUCGGGGUGUGAAAUCUCGGGCUUAACUCCGAAACUGCAUUCGAUACUGCCGUGCUUGAGGACUGGAGAGGAGACUGGAAAUUUACGGUGUAGCGGUGAAAUGCGUAGAUAUCGUAAGGAAGACCAGUGGCGAAGGCGGGUCUCUGGACAAGUUCCUGGACGCUGGAGGCACGAAGGUCAGGGGAGCAAACGGG
rnacentral:rRNA from 1 species